CCUACGGGUGGCAGCAGUGAGGAAUAUUGGUCAAUGGACGAGAGUCUGAACCAGCCAAGUAGCGUGAAGGAUGACUGCCCUAUGGGUUGUAAACUUCUUUUAUAUGGGAAUAAAAUGUUCCACGUGUGGGAUUUUGUAUGUACCAUAUGAAUAAGGAUCGGCUAACUCUGUGCCAGCAGCCGCGGUAAUACGGAGGAUCCGAGCGUUAUCCGGAUUUAUUGGGUUUAAAGGGAGCGUAGGUUGAUUGUUAAGUCAGUUGUGAAAGUUUGCGGCUCAACCGUAAAAUUGCAGUUGAAACUGGCAGUCUUGAGUACAGUAGAGGUGGGCGGAAUUCGUGGUGUAGCGGUGAAAUGCUUAGAUAUCACGAAGAACUCCGAUUGCGAAGGCAGUUCACUGGACUGCAACUGACACUGAGGCUCGAAAGUGUGGGUAUCAAACAGGAUUAGAUACCCUAGUAGUC
rnacentral:rRNA from 1 species